CCUCCUUUGUUCUUCCUCUCCAUUUUCCUCUUUCAAGAAGGCAGCUUUUCUUCUUCCAUUACUGCAAAACCCAAAGCUCAAAGAGCAGCUUCACAAAGGACACCAAAAGCCAUGAAUGCUCCCGACCGAUACGAGCGCUUCGUCGUUCCAGAGGGUACCAAAAAGGUCUCAUACGAGAGAGACACGAAGAUCAUUAAUGCGGCGUCGUUUACUAUUGAAAGAGAGGAACAUACCAUUGGAAACAUCUUGCGGAUGCAGCUGCAUAGAGAUGAAAAUGUGUUGUUUGCUGGAUAUAAGCUUCCUCACCCUUUGCAGUAUAAAAUUAUUGUCCGGAUCCAUACUACUAGCCAAUCGUCGCCGAUGCAAGCAUAUAAUCAAGCCAUCAAUGAUUUGGACAAGGAGCUUGAUCAUUUGAAAAAUGCAUUUGAGGCUGAGUUUGCUAAGUUCUCAAGGGACUAUUGAUUUGAUUUUGGAAAACUUGUUGGAGCUCAAUUCAAAAUGCAGGUAGUAGAAAGACAUAAUUAUACCUUAUUUGAAUAGAAUGAUGGUGUUUUGUUGUCUUUUUACCAAGAAGGACCAACACGAUGGGUCCACGAGCUGCUUUGUGGAGACUAACUUUGGUGAAGAGAGAAAUUGAGUGAGAGUGAGUGCAGUGAUUUGUUAGUGAGAAAGAGAAUGAGAGCGAGACUAUGAUUCUUUUCCACAUGUAUUCAUAUAUUUUGGUUAUUUCACCAUAGUUUUACGUCAACUAUGGUCAUUUGACAUAGGUCAUCCAUUGGGCCAAUUGUGGUUGCUUUCUUAAA